UACCGUGUAGCUCAGUAGGCAGAGCGUCAAUCUAGUAAUUCGAAGGUCGCGGGUUCGAGACCCAUCCGCGGCAG
rnacentral:tRNA from 1 species